rnacentral:tRNA from 1 species
CUUUCGGACAAGCUUUGCUAAUCCGUGGACUAAGGGAUGUAGGCCUAGGAAAACUGGAAAUCAAGUUCUCGGCGGGAAGGGAAGCCCG